CUGGGCUGGAUUCGAACCCACCAGCUCUGGUGUAUGUGGCUGGCUCCUUAGCCGCUUGAGCCACAGGCGCCGAGCCCAUGGGUGGACAUUUGGGUUCCCUCCGUCUUUCAGCUACCGCUCACCGUGAACAUUGGCGGACACGUCGUCUGAACACCUUCCAUUUUGCCUGGGCGUGUCCGCAGGGGGCCAUGGCAGGGUGAUUCUGUGGUGACCCACGUCCUUCCUGACACUUGUUAUUUUCCCUUUUUGAAAUUAUUGCUGUGGCCGCGCUGGCACACGUGAGGUGGUAUCUCACGGUUUUUUGGGAGAUUUUCAUCUGCUUGCUUGUUCUCUGUGUAGGAAAAGACCAUGACACGUUUUUAAAUUGGGUUGUCAUUUUUGUUGAGCUGUAGGAGUUUUCAUUAUAUCCUGAACUCUUACAUGAUUUGCGAUAUUCUCUCCCAUUCUGUAGAUUAUCUUUUUACUUUCUUAGCUCUUUGGUGCAUCCACGUUCCCACUUUGGUGAAGUUGAAAUCUGCCUAUUUUUUCUCUGUUGCAUCUUUUGUGGUCAUAUCUGUGGCCAAAUGCAAAGUCAUGAAAAUUUUCUUCUGAGAGUUUCAUGGAUUUAGCUUCAUUGAUUGUUUUGAGUUAAUUUUUGUGGGUGGUGUAAUGUGGGCAUUUGCCAUCCUUUUGUGUGUGAGAGCCAUUGGUCUUGUCAUUUUUUGUGGAAGAAACUGUCCUCUCUCCAUGGGAUGGCCUGGCAAUGUUGUCAAAAUUCUACUGGACACAGACACGAGGGCUCACUGCUAGACUCUCAAUUCUGUCCAUGCGUCUGUCUUUUCAGCUAGUACGGCCAGAGGGCUAGCACCGCACCACCUUGAUGGCUGUAGCUUCAUGGCAAGUUUUGGAAUUGACAGUGUGAGUCUUUAUUCUGUUGCAGAUUGUUCAGGAAAUAAUGUGUCCUGAUGUCUUCAUGUUUCGUAUGUGUGGAAUUCUUCAAGCAUCUUAGAUUCCCAUGUGAAACUAAUAAGAGUUCCAAAAAGAAAAGAGAAAACUGGGAAGGGUAUCGCCAAGUGAAAUAAUCCACGGAGCUGCCCGGGAACAGAAAGGCAUGACUUUGCAGGCACAUGACUUCUACUUCAAGAUCCAAGAAGAGUGAGCGGGCCUCCUCCCUUGGUGGACACUUCCUGAAGGCCUAUGUGAGGUGGGGGUGUUUUGCGCAGAUCCCAGUGGCUGAUUGGGCUGCCAGCCUACAAAGUGCCUUUGGAUGAAACCCUUGCAGCCAGGAGAAGACAGGUGCACUUUUUAAAAGUACUUGCAUGUGCUGACUGACCAGCCUCUGAGCUGGAGCAGCUGCCAGGAGACCCAGCACACAGAGGGAGGACACCCUCGGCGACGGCCUCACACCCUCCAAAUGCAACCAGCACCUGCCUCACCACGAGAUUUUAUGAUGCUGUAUAAAUAAACUGUGAGAGGUAACAUGUUACCCUACUCAUGAAUCAUUUUCUUGUUACUGUCAGAAUAAUUAGA